rnacentral:rRNA from 1 species
AGAGUUUGAUCAUGGCUCAGGACGAACGCUGGCGGCGUGCCUAAUACAUGCAAGUCGAGCGAGCGGAACUAACAGAUUUACUUCGGUAAUGACGUUAGGAAAGCGAGCGGCGGAUGGGUGAGUAACACGUGGGGAACCUGCCCCAUAGUCUGGGAUACCACUUGGAAACAGGUGCUAAUACCGGAUAAGAAAGCAGAUCGCAUGAUCAGCUUUUAAAAGGCGGCGUAAGCUGUCGCUAUGGGAUGGCCCCGCGGUGCAUUAGCUAGUUGGUAAGGUAAAGGCUUACCAAGGCGAUGAUGCAUAGCCGAGUUGAGAGACUGAUCGGCCACAUUGGGACUGAGACACGGCCCAAACUCCUACGGGAGGCAGCAGUAGGGAAUCUUCCACAAUGGACGCAAGUCUGAUGGAGCAACGCCGCGUGAGUGAAGAAGGUUUUCGGAUCGUAAAGCUCUGUUGUUGGUGAAGAAGGAUAGAGGUAGUAACUGGCCUUUAUUUGACGGUAAUCAACCAGAAAGUCACGGCCAACUACGUGCCAGCAGCCGCGGUAAUACGUAGGUGGCAAGCGUUGUCCGGAUUUAUUGGGCGUAAAGCGAGCGCAGGCGGAAGAAUAAGUCUGAUGUGAAAGCCCUCGGCUUAACCGAGGAACUGCAUCGGAAACUGUUUUUCUUGAGUGCAGAAGAGGAGAGUGGAACUCCAUGUGUAGCGGUGGAAUGCGUAGAUAUAUGGAAGAACACCAGUGGCGAAGGCGGCUCUCUGGUCUGCAACUGACGCUGAGGCUCGAAAGCAUGGGUAGCGAACAGGAUUAGAUACCCUGGUAGUCC